rnacentral:misc_RNA from 1 species
UCUCCGUUGGUGAACCAGCGGAGGGAUCAUUACAGAGUUAUCUAACUCCCAAACCAUUUUGAACUUACCAUUUGUUGCCUCGGCAGAGCCUACCCGGUAGCUGUUCGGAGAAGCUACCCUGUAGCUACCCUGUAACGGCCUACCCUGUAACGCACUGCCGGUGGACUUUUAAACUCUUGUUAUUUUAUAGUAAACUGAGCGUCUUAUUUUAAUAAGUCAAAACUUUCCACAACGGAUCUCUUGGUUCUGGCAUCGAUGAAGAACGCAGC